rnacentral:rRNA from 1 species
CCUACGGUGGGCAGCAGUGAGGAAUAUUGGUCAAUGGCCGAAAGUCUGAACCAGCCAAGUAGCGUGAAGGAUGAAUGCCCCAAGGAUUGUAAACUUCUUUUAUAUGGGAAUAAAAUGUUCCACGUGUGCCAUUUUGUGUGUACCAUAUGAAUAAGCAUCGGCUAACUCCGUGCCAGCAGCCGCGGUAAUACGGAGGAUCCGAGCGUUAUCCGGAUUUAUUGGGGUUAAAGGGUGCGUAGGUGGACUGUUAAGUCAGUUGUGAAAGGUUGCGGCUCAACCGUAAAAUUGCAGUUGAAACUGGCAGUCUUGAGAACAGUAGAGGUAGGCGGAAUGCGGAGUGUAGCGGUGAAAUGCUUAGAUAUCACGAAGAACUCCGAUUGCGAAGGCAGCUCACUGGACUGCAACUGACACUGAGGCUCGAAAGUGUGGGUAUCAAACAGGAUUAGAUACCCUUGUAGUC